CACACACACACACACACACACACACACACACACACACAGACAGCAUUUAGGGAUUCAGUGUCUACUGCUUAUUUGUUACCUGUAGAAGCUGUGAAAAGAGAGCGUGCUCUGUUGUGUCAAGGCUCCGUCUGCAACGAGCAACAUCCCAGGUCAUCUUUUUUUGUUUGUUGGUGUACAAUAUUUCUGUGUCUUGUGUUAGUGUCCCCCCCUCCCCCCUUCUCCUUCUUCUCCUUGUUCUCCCAUUCGCUCCCUCCCAGGUCUUGCUCUUCAAUGUGUCUCUCUGUGAAAGUUUUUUCCUGUGAUGAUGAAAAUGUCUCUCUCUCUGCCUGAACCUUUGUAGGGAAAUAAUGACUGAGUUACUACAAUAUCAUGUGAUAGACAUAGACAUUUAUUCAAUACUGUAAUAAAUUAUUAACUGAAGAUGAUAUUUAAGUUUUUUUAUGAAAUGCAGAAAAAGAAUCUUUGGAAAAAAAAAAAAUGACAACUUGUUUUCGAGAACAUGGCAUGAGGUGUAAUGUGUUACUGAAAGAAAAUUAAGGUCUUUAAUUACGUGAAAUUGACCUUAUUUGAAUAUAGUUUAUUUAUUUUCAAGGCG